rnacentral:lncRNA from 1 species
CGGGACUUUUGGUAACUGAUAUCGAUGGGAAAGCAAUGGGAUCUACCUGAAAAUAUCAUUAGAAAAUGAUACUGACAGAUAGGACAAAUCAUGGUUAACAGUUGUGGCUAGAGUAAACAAGUUGAACUGUUUAUACCUAUACCGCAAUGGAUUGAGGCUUCUCAAUAAACUGGUUACAUCUGAUCUGCUAACAACAGCUGCUAAACAUUGAAAGGGGUACUGUGCUGACUGCUGUAUACACACUAUGUCAUUUGCUCUUCACAACCUAUAGGAUGGGCACUAGUUUUUCCCCCUUUUGGCAGAUGACAGAAACCGAGGCACAACCAACUUGUCUAAAUAUAGAUUACAGAAAUUUCACAUGUAUCUCUCCAGUUCACAGGAAGUGUCAUUCUCCUUAAUCACUUUGCUCUUAUCCUUGAUGUUUUUCCAAACAUUUUUGCUGAUGUUGAGUGUUUUCCAUUUCUCUGAGCUGUGUUGUCAGUCCAUCUCCUGAUGAAGCAAGGGCAGUUUGAAUGCUGAAUGGAGGUGGAUGAGGAAGGGGAACACUACGUGAAAAUAUUUGUUUUACACAGAUGAAAUGUUGGAUCAGAACGCACGGAACUACAUCCAGCUUGGUGCAGGGACCUGCGUUUGGAAGCCGCUGCUUCAGAGUGUUCCAGAGAACGGCAGCCUCACGCAAGCAUGAAGCGUUUAACUGUGCAACACAAAUCAACAACCUGGGCUCCUAGAAUUCAGGGUGAGGUUUCACAGAGUGUCAGAGUUGAAAAGGAUCUUGGGGCUCACUGAUGAAGCAUUAGCGACGAGGAGCCUGAGGCCAGAGGGAACGUGCCACGGACAGCCUGAGCUACAGUGCAGGUCUCCUCCCUCCUCCGCAGCACUGCUGACCACGGCUUUCCGUGGUUAUAAUACUGUCACUUCCCCGCUAGCCCAAGGAUCUGAAAAUACUUUUGGUAAGCCACGGGAAGGACCCUCCUCCCUGAGUCAGUACCUUUAACUGCUGUUGGAACAACUCCAAGCCUCAAAUAAUUCAAAACUGUGUGAAACACGUUUUUGCCUGAAUUAGGGUUCACACCGGGUGGCCUUUGUCCAGAGGCCAUGUUUAUUUAUUUAUUUAUUUAUUUUUAUUUUAUUAUUAUUACACUUUAAGUUUUAGGGUACAUGUGCACAAUAUGCAGGUUAGUUACAUAUGUAUACAUGUGCCAUGCUGGUGUGCUGCACCCAUUAACUUGUCAUUUAGCAUUAGGUAUAGCUCCUAAUGCUAUCCCUCCCCUUCCCCCCACCCCACAACAGUCCCCAGAGUAUGAUGUUCCCCUUCCUGUG